UACAGAGGUCUCAAGCGUUGUUCGGAUUUACUGGGCGUAAAGGGCGCGUAGGCGGCCACUGCAAGUCAGUUGUGAAAUCUCCGGGCUUAACCCGGAAAGGUCAACUGAUACUGCAGGGCUAGAGUGCAGAAGGGGCAACUGGAAUUCUCGGUGUAGCGGUGAAAUGCGUAGAUAUCGAGAGGAACACCUGCGGCGAAGGCGGGUUGCUGGGCUGACACUGACGCUGAGGCGCGAAAGCCAGGGGAGCGAACGGG
rnacentral:rRNA from 1 species